UACGUAGGGUGCAAGCGUUGUCCGGAAUUAUUGGGCGUAAAGAGCUCGUAGGCGGUUUGUCGCGUCUGCUGUGAAAACCCGAGGCUCAACCUCGGGCCUGCAGUGGGUACGGGCAGACUAGAGUGCGGUAGGGGAGAUUGGAAUUCCUGGUGUAGCGGUGGAAUGCGCAGAUAUCAGGAAGAACACCCGUGGCGAAAGCGGCUCUCUGGAACGGUACUGACGCUGAGACGCGAAAGCGUGGGGAGCGAACAGG
rnacentral:rRNA from 1 species